rnacentral:lncRNA from 1 species
GUGUGGCGGGCCUGGAGGGUGAAGGGCGCGCGACCCGAGCCCACAGCCUGGCGGCUGGGGUCGCCCCUCGCCAUUGGCGGUCAGGGCGAGGUGCGGCCCUGCGGGGUCUUGCCCAGGCUCCAGGGCCCUUGGGGUCCCGGAGGGUCCAGCAGAAGGGUCUGUGUUUUGCCGGGGUCCUGAGAGCGUGCUGGGGAUAGCGGGGGUGGAGUGCAGGUGUGCCCAUGGGCGCCCCGGGUCCAGGGCCCGCGGAGCCGCUCUCGGGGCGGAGACCUUGCCCCCAGGGGCACGUCAGCGGUCCUGAGCUGAGGCUCCUGCAGAGCACUCUGGGCCGCGUGUGUCUCUCCCUGCGUGGGCAGGCAGUGUCGGUGGCCGGAGCGAGGGUGUUUUCCCAUCGAGUGAGGGGGAGAGCCCCAGGGUGGGCCUUGGGGUGGAAUCGGACUCGGGGUUGCCGUGGACUCUUAAGCUGGGAGGGGUGCGGGUGGGCAGGGCCUUAGGGAGCCUGAGGGAGGUGCGGUUCCUGGGGGAAGGGUGUGGCGCCCCAGCGAAGGGGCAGUGCUGGCCACUCCGUGUGGCGCUUUGGCUGCUGGCACCCAGUGAGAGGGGGGAGGCCAGGGACAGGUGGCAGCCAGGCUGCCCACAGGCCCUGGGCGGUGGGGGCCCGGCCCCUGUGCCUUGGGCAGCUGGCCCCUUGCUGAGGCGUGCUUGCGCGUGUCCGUUGUCGCCCUCACCCAGCUGCUGCGGCGGAGAAACGGAGGCCAGCGCGGGGAGCGGAAGCCGGAGCCUGUCGGGAGCGACCCCGGGAAGGCCAGUCCCUCCUGCCGGAGGGUGGCGUGUUGGCGUGCGGCCGGUGGCGGGAUCGAUGGCCACCUGCUGCUGCGGCGGAGAAACGGAGGCCAGCGCGGGGAGCGGAAGCCGGAGCCUGUCGGGAGUAACCCCGGGAAGGCCAGUCCCUCCUGCCGGAGGGAGGCGUGUUGGGUGCGGCCGGUGGCGGGAUCGAUGGCCACCUGGUAGGCGAUGGUAA